AUGUUUACAAUUUCUCAGUUUUCUCCCCCUGAAUUGCAUAAAGUGCUGACUGGUGUUCUCAAGGAUAGAAGUUAUUCUCAGAAGACAGUAUCUCCUUUUUGCGGGGAAAAAGGGCCCAGGAUUGCUACAGCAGGAGUUCUGGUUUUGGAGUCCUUUCAAGCACGGAUCGCAGUGCCCAGUGGUCAAUACCCUUACUUUUAUCCAGUGUCUGCUUCAUUUAAACUUAAUCAACUCCAUCAACGAACUGGAACAGGGAAACGUCCCUGCGGUAAGAAUGUUGUGCUUUUGUGGGAUAAUUCUUUGCUCUUUCCCGAUCCGUUGCCGUUAAACCUAAAAUUGCACUAUGAUGAACUUUUUUUUUUUUUAAUCAAUAUGAUAAUGACAAUUGGGUCUGAACGCUCUGGUAGGAAGGACUUAGACUAGAGCUGAAUCUGGCUUCCAUCACCAAAACAACUUCUGGUCCUACGAUAGUCUGCCUCCUUUUGUUGUAUGGCUUUAAUACCUUUUCUUCCCUGACAUUGAAUAUUGCUCAAGCUGGAAAAUGAUGCAUCUUUGUAGGGAAGGCUCAUAUGUCACAGCCAGAAAGUGAAGCAGACCGAUUGGUUGUGUGAAUUAUCUGACUUGCUGCAGUGAAUUAUUUGCACUGUUUCCCUACCUAGUCAACAAGUUCCUGAGGUAUAGUAGAGAUCAAUCAAAACUGACAGCCCGCAUGUGAAGGCUUUACUGUGUAAAUCUGGCGCACUCAUCCUGGCCAUGCCGGCCCUGGCAUCUGUAUAUCAUUUUUAUACUGCUACCAGUAGAGCAAUUUCAAAAGUAUUUGCAAGGAAAAUGCGUGUCCCCAUCUGUUCCUAGAAGCAUAAAUGUGCCACCUUCAGAGGGUUUUCACUGGUAAUCAUAUCUUUAAUGAUCAACAGACUAGUGAUAUAUAUUUUUCCAUAAAAUGGGGUUUUCUUCACUUUAUUGUGAUUGGCUAGAAUAAAUAGCUUUUCCAUAUGUUAGGGAGAUAAAAU
rnacentral:lncRNA from 1 species